UAAAAAUGAACCAUUGGAUCAAUUGUAAAAACCAUGGGAAAACAAAGAAUUCUUAUGUUAACAAUGAUUUCUAUGGUAUCUGUAUUGUAGAGCAUGUUUCAAAAUUUCAUUUGUUGAAGCGAUUACAAUAGGCUAACAUCAGAUUUCACUGUUACAGGGUUUUCUAUAAGCUUACAGUAGAAUAACAUAAGAUUUCAUUGUUACAGUGUUUUCAAUGGGCAUACAGUAGAUUUACAUUAGAUUCCAUUGUUAUCAUUCAGAUUCACACCGAACUUCAUGACUCCGGAUGAGUGCCAUGGGAUUUGACCGAUUUUGCGUAACCUUCAUACACGUUUGUGUUGAUUUUUUUUGCGUGUUUGUUGUGAUCGCGAAACAAAACGUAAAAUCUUAGACAGUGCCCAGUUCGGUUCGGGACGUUUCAGUUAAAUUGCGUCGGAAUUUGUGACGGUGGAUCGUUGCGAAUACGCACUGCGUCCCCAGACUCUGGAUUUCUUCGAGCGGGACCACUGCACCAUGCAGAGCAACAACAGAGCCUUCCGCACCAGCAGCCCCAUAACUGAUGGACAUUGGAGCCGCUAGCAGUUCACCGUCAAAGUAAAGGCAACCCAAAAUCCACGCCUUACUAGGCUGAAACAGGAAAUUUAGUUGCAAAUUUGAUGCCGUGAUUUAGUAAGUAGGUUUUGUUUGCACUUACGGGAAGUUUAUAGUUGGCAUGGCAGGGCUGGUAGCGAUCACACUUUCACAGGCAAGUUCGCAGGGUUGGUUCGACCUUUUUUAUUAUUGUCGUCGCGGUUGAAACCCGAAGUUUCCCCACACCCGACAGUCGAAUUUUCUCAAAAUCCAUACGCGAAACCUAACGUUGGACGUAGUGCGCUGGACAGCGGACCCGGCCCUCUAUCCAGCGCACUGUGCCCGACGUACCUGCGACACACGGUUCAGGAGAAAAAUUCCGAUUUUCAACUGCACGGAUAAUAUAUAAUGAAAUCAUCUAAAAGAGUUUUUAACCCACUUUUUAGAUAUUUUUUUCGUUUUCUAAACUAACUUUUGAAAAGGGCUCAUUUCAUUUUUCCUUGAAAGUCUCUAUAAUAAAGAUAAAUCGAUCAUUUCAUUUUUCCAUAAUUAAAAAAAGAAACAUAAUAUUAUUACUGAAUUGAAACAAUCUUUUGCAUUUGGUCGCUUUGGAAGGUUUUUUAAUGUAGGAUGAAUGGAACGCGUUUCAUUAAAUUUAUUACUGAAUUAGAACAAUCUUUGGCAUAUGGACGUUAUGAAAGGUCUUCUUAUAGGUGAAUUCGGAUGACCCCCAAUUGUAGAGGCGCUAAAAAAGAUAAGGUGAAAAUCGUUUGUUUACAUCAAAAAUUCAAUUUUUCGUUUUCAAAAUUAACUCAUAUUUUGCCUUGGUGGUUGCUAUUUUCCAUUGGUAAUGGCUUCUAUUAUCAUCAAUCUCGAUGCCCACGGCGACAGACACCGGAUUGACCAGCUAACAAAAAAUCCGGAAGAUUGCCCGCCGGAGGCAUAGCAAGAGCUCCUCAAAUUAAUCACAUAAGUUGUUCGUAAGUACCUACCGGAACUAAGCGCAUCUGAAAGAGAAUUAGAUUUUCUUUUCAAAAAGUGCUCGUUUGUUUCUCUACGAUGCGGAAUUCGAUAUGAAAAAGUGAAAAAAGGGCAGUUUGCCUAUGCUGCGCAAUGGCAAAUUUUAGUGGAGCCCCUCUUUUCAUAGGUUUCUCAUUCCUGCCACCAGAUGCGGAGGGAUCGUUAGCUUCCGUUGGAGUUGCCUAUAUACGUUCGCUCUUUAAGACUGGAACACAUAUCAUAAGUUUAACUCAAUCGGUGCAGAUUUAUGCUAUGGGCUCCAGGCUUUAGUCUCACGGGUGUCUUCAUUGCCAGGACAAUGGUCAAGCGCGCUGUAAUGUUACUUUUGUACCUCAUCACCCACUAAAUGCAACUACAUUAGUGGACUAAUAACACUUAGCGCGCUUAGGCACGGUUCCAUCAUGCCGCUUAUAGUGUUGCCACAUAUAGUGUUUAGUUUGCUAAACCCAGUUAACUGGCUGGUGGGGCAUGGGAGCCUAAGCUUCGACCAUUAAUGCAAUUAGACGUUACUUCAGACAUGAGUGAUUCGAAUAUUUGAAGAACUAUUCAAACUAUGUAGAAGCUUGUGUAUAGUCAACAUUUAACGAACUUAAUCUAUGCAAUAUUUUGCAUUUUACGGCUUCGAACGAAGUUCAAGUAUAGGUUCAAGUUGUAGUAUAUCGAGUUUUUUUAGUGCUUUAAUAAUGGUUAAGCACGCUGUAAUGUUACUUUUGUACCUCAUCACCCACUAAAUGCAACUACAUUAGUGGUCUAAUAACACUUAGCGCGCUUAGGCACGGUUCCAUCAUGCCGCUUAUAGUGUUGCCACAUAUAAUGCUUGGUCUGCUAAACCCAGUUAUCUGGCCAGUGGGGCAUGGGAGCUUAAGCUUCAAUCAUUAAUGCAAUUAAACAUUACUCGAUUUACGACAUGAUUGAUCCAAAUAUUAGAUAAUUGUUCGAUCUGUCUUCUUAAAAUGUAGCUCUUAAUGUAGCAUAAAAUAUACAAGCUUCUAGUCCAAAUGCAUAAAGGUAGUUUAGAUUCAUGCACUGUUUUUCAGAUUUUUUUCAAGCAAUCAGUAACAAAAAAAUCAGAAAUAUAUCAAACCAUUCCAAAGUGUUCAUUUUCGUUUGUAAAAUAAAACUAAUCCAAAACAUUAGAAUUUUCUGUUUCACAAUAGAAAACAAUUCCUUGACAAUUCCCAAACCAUUGGAUAGGGCAAAACAGUAUGUUCCGUAAUCACAAUGGAAAGCAAGGUCACUAUUCAAAGCAAAGAAUAAUAUGAAAACAUAAAAAUCUUCUGUAUCACAAUAGAAAACAAUUGCCAAACCAUUGAAUCUAAGGUGGAACCAGUAAUAAAAUUACUACUCAAAACAAUACGUUUACCGUGCAACUCACUAUUUGAAACAAUUCGAAAACAUAAGAAUCUUCUGUAUCACAAUAGAAAACGAUACCCAAACCAUUGAAUUCAAUGUAAACACAGUACAAACAGUAUGUUCUGUUUCACAAUAGAAAACAAUUCAAAAACAAUUGAAUCAAAUGUUUAACCAUAAAUAAAAUCACUACCCAAAACAA